GUAAUUAUAUAUUUCUCAUAAACUCUACUGGAGUUUAGAUGGAUCUGACAUUGUUAUUCACUUUGUAAUCUUUUAUGGAGAUGACAACAUGAUGAAAAUAAGUAUAUAUAAAAAAAAAAAGUUGUUAUAUGCUAAUAUGUAUACAGAGCACGUAACAUAGCAAGUUGAUUCAAUAUCCAUUGUCUUCUUAGCCUUCAAAUUUGUAUUUCAAAUCACAAUAUACCUGCAAGUCCUGCAUCACUAGUUGCUUAAAAUUAGCACAUGAUGGACAUAGAUAAUAAGCAUAAUUUUUCAAGCUCAUGAAGGAAAUCAAAUUAAAAUUAUAAAUUAAUAAGCCUUAUCUUUGAGAAAUGACAUCAGAAGGAUUUCAUCUCUUCAUAGAGUUGGAAAUUAACAAAACCAACGUGCUGUUCACCACUCCAAGGAUGUAAUUUUCCUCAAAAUGCUCUGAAUGAACUCGGUUUGACCACGCACAAGGGCAGUAUGUUGCCUCACAGUCAGGUAGUGAUGAUGAAAUUAGAGACUCGUGCUGAUAAUGUGUUAUAAAAUAAAGACUGUAAAGUAAAUAAAUCGAAGACAAGUAUAGAGGGAGAUUGAUAUUUUUAUUCAACUUCAAACUGAUGUACAUAAUGAACUGAAUUAUCCUCUAUUUAUAAAACAAAGGAAGCUGCUGUGUAAGCUACUACUCUAAGCUGCUAUGUAAGCUGCUACAAUACCAGAUAUAGAUAAUCUUCUACCAUAGGUAAUAUUUAUCCAUAACGGAGUAACGAAAGGAUAAGCUUCUUCAGGAGGCUUUUUUACAAUAGAGUACUAAAUAGAUAAAUAUAUUUACGACAGAGUCCCAUAUGGAUAAGCUUUUUGAGGAAGAUUAUUUACAACGGAGUAGUAAAUGAACAUCCAUAAUAUAAUAUAUUUAUAACAAAGCCUAUGUUUUUGUGCUCUUAGAAUUGUUAGAAAAUAGGGAAAAGCUUUGCUUUCAGCUAUCGUCCAUAUUUAAACUUCAUCAUUCAGUAAGUACUCUACUUCCAUUUCUCUCUCUAACAAUAUAGCCGUUCAACAUCUCUUCUCUAAAACUCACGCGUGUUCUCACGCUCUAACACUAUGACGACAUCGGUGGCAACGCAUUCGGCUUGUAUCGAACUCCAAAAGAAACCACCAGAUAUCCCAUCGACCUCUAAUUCUCCAGAACCAACCAAAUCGAAGUAUAUAGAAGCUGUGAAAGGACCCCCCCAAUUCUAGAAAUUGUCAAACCCAACUCCAAGGUAAUUGGCCGAAACACCACCCACAAUGGGAUAUCGACAAUGAUUUUCAAAGCUGAAGACUACUAUUGAGUAAUGGCCUAUGAGUGCAAGCUUUCAUUGGUUGGGAAAUUCACAUAUGGAAGAGCAGAAAUCGAAUCAAUUCGGGCCAAAUUUAUGGAACUAAUCCCCCUUAAAGGAAAAGUAAGAAUCAGAGCUUACGAUUACAGAAAUAUUCAUUGAAUUCACUACUGAAUCGGACUUCAAUGAAGUCUAUUUCAGAAGAUUCUAAAGUAUCAAGGAUUCCCUAAUGUGAGUUUUCAAAUGGUCGCCGGACUUCGACCCGAAUGAGGAGACCUCGUUAGCGUCAGUAUGGGUCUUAUUACCAGAACUUAAAUUUCACUUGUUGAAUUAAGAUUACCUUAGACAAAUUCUCUCUGAAGUUGGCACACAUCUUAAAAAGGAUCUUGCUACUGUGGCAAGGUCCAGACCAAACAUUGUUAAAGUAAGAGUUAAAGUAGAUCUAUCCAAACCUUUGUUGAAAUCAAUUUUUGUUGGUCAAGAACGCUUGGGCUUAGGGAUGAAGGGACAUGAACAAAGGUUUGAGUAUGAAGGUGUCCCGGCAUAUUAAAAAACCUGCAAAUUACAUGGUCGUAGUCAUAUAAAUUGCAAGGUGGAAGCAAGAAAGGCAAGCAACCAAGAAAUCAACAUGACAAAAAAAUAAUACACCUAGGAAUCAACAGAUAGUUGAUCAAGAUGCAGAAAAGUCAAAAGGAAAAGUUAACGCACCACUCGAAAAAGGCCAGAACUGUGGGAUAGUGAAGAAUGCUAAUAUCAACAAAGAUGAGGAAGGAUUCACUCAAGUCACAAGGAAAAGAGGGAAAAAGUCAGGAAACAAAAACGUUACUGCAAUAACUGAGGUACAGUCAAAUACAAAAGGAAAGGAUAGUGCUACAAAGAAUCACACUGUCACUGAACUUCAAAAGGAAAAGGAACCACAACCUGAAGAACAGAAGCAGGAAAAGAAAGAUAUCAGGAAGAGCAAAAAGAAGAAACAAAAAGGGACGAAAAAUACUAUACUAAGAGUUAAAAAUAGAAUAUCGGCAAAGCGGAAAGUUAAGCACAUACCAGAAAAGAACAUCAUAGAGAAUAUGGAUAAAGAGAUUACACUCAAACAAAAAACAACAGACAAAAGAAUCACUCAAGACCUCGUCAAUAUCAAAAGAAGCAGAACACCAAUAACUCAACACCAUGCAAGAAGAUCAACUCAGCAAAGUGGAACAGAAUAAUCAAAGUGAUGAAGGGAGCUCCGGUAACCAAAUUAUGUCCCCUAUUACGACAGGCAUCGCAUGCAAACAAGAAAAAUGUGGUCUAAUUUCUAUAGACCUAGGCAGUAUUAAAACUAUUACUGCAAAACAUCAUGUAAAACAUGGCCCUGAUUUAGGGAAUAGCUCUGAAGAGGAAUCAUGGGAGGAUACAGAGGAAAACCAUAUCGAGGAUGAAUCAUCAGAUGAAAAAGUUGAAGAUAGUUACAUGGAGGUUGGGAAUAAAGAGGAAGAAUAUGUUGCAGACAGUUUGAUUGAAGCCGUUGCACCAGCUCCAAAGAAACCAAAAGAUCCUGUUGAGAAGGAAACAAAUGACACCAUUCAAAAGAAAGGAUUAUCUCCAAGGGGAAAAAAACACAAGAAAGAAAAGAAAGGGAAUAAAAACAGUAAUCCUCUCACCUUAACAGGGAAAUACAAAGAGAAGUCGACUAAUCAACCCUAAUAAUUUUUUAAUGAUCAAGGUCAUUAUAUGGAAUAUUAGGGGGAUGAAAUUAAAAGGUGCUUACCAAAGAUUAGUACAGCUAGUCAACCUUCAUAAAGUCGACUUGGUUGCUCUUCAAGAGCCUUUCCUGGAUAACAAUAAUAUUGAGGCUUUCAAGAGAGGCUUAGGAUUUGGUAAUAUUGUGUCCAAUAUACAUAGCAAAAUCUGGUGCUUCUAGAGAUCUAAUCUCAAUUGUACAGUUGAAUCCAAAAGUAGAUAACAAGUUACCCUCAAAUGUAAAUAUUCAGGAACUACUGAUCACAUAUGGAUAACUGUGGUAUAUGCUAGAUCUAGUUCGAACAAGAGGAAGAAACUAUGGAACAAACUUAGGACUCUUAAUUCUCAUAUUGAUGGUCCUUAGUCUAUAUGUGGUGACUUCAACUCUAUUAUGGCAGCAGAGGAAAAGGCAGGCCGAGUCCCUUUCAGUUGGAAGUAAA
rnacentral:lncRNA from 1 species